rnacentral:sRNA from 1 species
AGACGCAGACAACAAUGAGGUGCUCAAG